CUCCAGACUCCUACGGGAGGCAGCAGUGAGGAAUAUUGGUCAAUGGGCGGGAGCCUGAACCAGCCAAGUCGCGUGAGGGAAGACGGUCCUAUGGAUUGUAAACCUCUUUAGGCGGGGAGCAAUGCCGGGCACGUGUGCCCGGAGGGAGAGUACCCGCAGAAUAAGCAUCGGCUAACUCCGUGCCAGCAGCCGCGGUAAUACGGAGGAUGCGAGCGUUAUCCGGAUUUAUUGGGUUUAAAGGGUGCGUAGGCGGAAGGGUAAGUCAGCGGUAAAAUGUCGGUGCUCAACACCGGCCUGCCGUUGAAACUGGUCUUCUUGAGUGAGCGAGAAGUAUGCGGAAUGCGUGGUGUAGCGGUGAAAUGCAUAGAUAUCACGCAGAACGCCGAUUGCGAAGGCAGCAUACCGGCGCUCAACUGACGCUGAGGCACGAAAGCGUGGGGAUCGAACAGGAUUAGAUACCCUCGUAC
rnacentral:rRNA from 1 species